rnacentral:rRNA from 1 species
GAGGUCCCAAGCGUUGUCGGAUUCACUGGGCGUAAAGGGUGGCGUAAGGUGGCUGGGUAAGUUUGAUGUGAAAGCUCGGAGCUUAACUCCGAAAUGGCAUUGAAUACUAUCCAGCUAGAGAGUCGGAGGGGGGACUGGAAUACUUGGUGUGAGCAGGUGAAAAUGCGUGAGAAUAUCAAGUGGAAACACCAGUGGCGAAAGGCGAGUCCC